rnacentral:rRNA from 1 species
GUUGGGUAGGGGAGCGUUCUGUAAGCCUGCGAAGGUGUGCUGUGAGGCAUGCUGGAGGUAUCAGAAGUGCGAAUGCUGACAUAAGUAACGAUAAAGCGGGUGAAAAGCCCGCUCGCCGGAAGACCAAGGGUUCCUGUCCAACGUUAAUCGGGGCAGGGUGAGUCGACCCCUAAGGCGAGGCCGAAAGGCGUAGUCGAUGGGAAACAGGUUAAUAUUCCUGUACUUGGUGUUACUGCGAAGGGGGGACGGAGAAGGCUAUGUUGGCCGGGCGACGGUUGUCCCGGUUUAAGCGUGUAGGCUGGUUUUCCAGGCAAAUCCGGAAAAUCAAGGCUGAGGCGUGAUGACGAGGCACUACGGUGCUGAAGCAACAAAUGCCCUGCUUCCAGGAAAAGCCUCUAAGCAUCAGGUAACAUCAAAUCGUACCCCAAACCGACACAGGUGGUCAGGUAGAGAAUACCAAGGCGCUUGAGAGAACUCGGGUGAAGGAACUAGGCAAAAUGGUGCCGUAACUUCGGGAGAAGG